UAAAGCGGAGGUAUUCGGGGAGACAGGUGGUGCAUGGUUGUCGUCAGCUCGUGUCGUGAGAUGUUGGGUUAAGUCCCGCAACGAGCGCAACCCCUAUUGCUAGUUACCAUCAUUAAGUUGGGGACUCUAGCGAGACUGCCAGUGAUAAACUGGAGGAAGGUGGGGAUGACGUCAAAUCAUCAUGCCCCUUAUGACCUGGGCUACAAACGUGAUACAAUGGCUGGAACAAAGGGAUGCGAAGCAGUGAUGUGGAGCGAAACCCAUAAAAACAGUCUCAGUUCGGAUUGAAGUCUGCAACUCGACUUCAUGAAGUCGGAAUCGCUAGUAAUCGCGGAUCAGAACGCCGCGGUGAAUACGUUCUCGGGGUUU
rnacentral:rRNA from 1 species